rnacentral:sRNA from 1 species
AAAUCUUGUUUUUUCCCCCAAAUAUGUUCAGCAAAGGCAGAACAAGUGCAAGCUUCUCCACACUACCAAGCACGGUGCCUCACCUUGAUGUGGAGGGACCAUUUACAAGUGUCUUACACCUUCACUGCCAAAAAAAGAUGUU